rnacentral:rRNA from 1 species
AGUGAACGCUGGCGGUAGGCCUAACACAUGCAAGUCGAACGGCAGCACAGUAAGAGCUUGCUCUUACGGGUGGCGAGUGGCGGACGGGUGAGGAAUACAUCGGAACCUACUUUUUCGUGGGGGAUAACGUAGGGAAACUUACGCUAAUACCGCAUACGACCUACGGGUGAAAGCAGGGGAUCUUCGGACCUUGCGCGUUUGAAUGAGCCGAUGUCGGAUUAGCUAGUUGGCGGGGUAAAGGCCCACCAAGGCGACGAUCCGUAGGUGGUCUGAGAGGAUGAUCAGCCACACUGGAACUGAGACACGGGCCAGACUCCUACGGGAGGCAGCAGUGGGGAAUAUUGGACAAUGGGCGCAAGCCUGAUCCAGCCAUACCGCGUGGGUGAAGAAGGCCUUCGGGUUGUAAAGCCCUUUUGUUGGGAAAGAAAAGCAGCAGGUUAAUACCCCGCUGUUCUGACGGUACCCAAAGAAUAAGCGCCGGCUAACUUCGUG